UACGUAGGGUGCAAGCGUUGUCCGGAAUUAUUGGGCGUAAAGGGCUCGUAGGCGGUUUGUCGCGUCGGGAGUGAAAACUCAGGGCUUAACCCUGAGCCUGCUUCCGAUACGGGCAGACUAGAGGUAUGCAGGGGAGAAUGGAAUUCCUGGUGUAGCGGUGAAAUGCGCAAAUAUCAGGAGGAACACCGGUGGCGAAGGCGGUUCUCUGGGCAUUACCUGACGCUGAGGAGCGAAAGUGUGGGGAGCGAACAGG
rnacentral:rRNA from 1 species